rnacentral:piRNA from 1 species
UGAAAAAGGCUGUCUCACCUGACCAUAC